UAGUGAGUUUGAUCCUGGCUCAGGAUGAACGCUAGCGGCAGGCCUAAUACAUGCAAGUCGAACGGGCAGCAAUGUCAGUGGCGGACGGGUGAGUAACGCGUGAGAAUCUGUCUUCAGGUCUGGGACAACAGUUGGAAACGACUGCUAAUACCGGAUGUGCCGUGAGGUGAAAGAUAAAUUGCCUGAAGGUGAGCUCGCGUCAGAUUAGCUAGAUGGUGGUGUAAGAGACUACCAUGGCGACGAUCUGUAGCUGGUCUGAGAGGAUGAUCAGCCACACUGGGGACUGAGACACGGCCCAGACUCCUACGGGAGCAGCAGUGGGGAAUAUUGGACAAUGGGGCGAAAGCCUGAUCCCAGCAAUGCCGCGUGAGUGAUGAAGG
rnacentral:rRNA from 1 species